rnacentral:rRNA from 1 species
AGUGAACGCUGGCGGUAGGCCUAGCACAUGCAAGUCGAACGGCAGCACAGUAAGAGCUUGCUCUUACGGGUGGCGAGUGGCGGACGGGUGAGGAAUACAUCGGAAUCUACUUUUUCGUGGGGGAUAACGUAGGGAAACUUACGCUAAUACCGCAUACGACCUACGGGUGAAAGCAGGGGAUCUUCGGACCUUGCGCGAUUGAAUGAGCCGAUGUCGGUUUAGCUAGUUGGCGGGGUAAAGGCCCACCAAGGCGACGAUCCGUAGCUGGUCUGAGAGGAUGAUCAGCCACACUGGAACUGAGACACGGUCCAGACUCCUACGGGAGGCAGCAGUGGGGAAUAUUGGACAAUGGGCGCAAGCCUGAUCCAGCCAUACCGCGUGGGUGAAGAAGGCCUUCGGGUUGUAAAGCCCUUUUGUUGGGAAAGAAAAGCAGCAGGUUAAUACCCCGCUGUUCUGACGGUACCCAAAGAAUAAGCACCGGCUAACUUCGUG